AUUGAACGCUGGCGGCAGGCCUAACACAUGCAAGUCGAGCGAGCGGCGGACGGGUGCGUAAUGUCUGGGAAACUGCCUGAUGGAGGGGGAUAACUACUGGAAACGGUAGCUAAUACCGCAUACCAUCAGAUGUGCCCAGCUGGGAUUAGCUCGUAGGUGGGGUAACGGCUCACCUAGGCGACGAUACCUAGCUGGUCUGAGAGGAUGACCAGCAACACUGGAACUGAGACACUGUGCAGACGACGAAGGGAGGCAGCAGUGGGGAAUAGUGCACAAUGGGCGCAAGCCUGAUGCAGCCAUGCCGCGUGUGGGAAGAAGGCCUGCGGGUUGUAAAGCACUUGCAGCGGGGAGGCGUUACCCGCAGAAGAAGCACCGGCUAACUCCGUGCCAGCAGCCGCGGUAAUAC
rnacentral:rRNA from 1 species